rnacentral:lncRNA from 1 species
UUCUCCCUCUAAAACUGAGCUAUAUAGUCUUAACGAUAGUUAUAUAACCAUGGUCACAAAAACAAUCAUAACUGAAAACUACUAUUCUCUCACUAAAACUGAGCUAUAUCGUCUUUACGAUAGUUAUAUUACCUUGUCACCAAAACAAUCAUACCUGAAAAUUACUAUUCUCUCACUAAAACUGAGCUAUAUCGUCUUAACGAAAGUUAUAUUACCAUGGUCACCAAACAAUCAUACCUGAAAAUUACUAUUCUCUCACUAAAACUGAGCUAUAUCGUCUUAACGAAAGUUAUAUUACCAUGGUCACCAAACAAUCAUACCUGAAAAUUACUAUUCUCUCACUAAAACUGAGCUAUAUCGUCUUAACGAAAGUUAUAUUACCAAGGUCACCAAACAAUCAUACCUGAAAAUUACUAUUCUCUCACUAAAAAAUUGAGCUAUAUCGUCUUAACGAUAGUUAUAUUACCAUGGUCACCAAAACAAUCAUACCUGAAAAUUACUAUUCUCUCACUAAAACUGAGCUAUAUCGUCUUAAUGAUAGUUAUUUUACCAUGGUAACCAAAACAAUCAUACCUGAAAAUUACUAUUCUCUCACUAAAACUGAGCUAUAUAGUCUUAAUGAUAGUUUUAAUACCAUGGUCACCAAAACAAUCAUACCUGAAAAUUACUAUUCUCUCACUAAAACUGAGCUAUAUCGUCUGAAUGAUAGUUAUUUUACCAUGGUAACCAAAACAAUCAUACCUGAAAAUUACUAUUCUCUCACUAAAACUGAGCUAUAUAGUCUUAAGGAUAGUUUUAAUACCAUGGUCACCAAAACAAUAAUACCUGAAAAAUUACUAUUCUCUCACUAAAACUGAGCUAUAUCGUCUUAACGAUAGUUAUAUUACCAUGGUCACCAAAACAAUCAUACCUGGAAAUUACUUUUCUCUCCCUAAAACUGAGCUAUAUCGUCUUAACGAUAGUUAUAUUACCAUGGUCACCAAAACAAUCAUACCUGAAAAUUACUAUUCUCUCACUAAAACUGAGCUAUAUCGUCUUAACGAUAGUUAUAUUACCUUGGUCACCAAACAAUCAUACCUGAAAAUUACUAUUCUCUCACUAAAACUGAGCUAAAUCGUCUUAACGAUAGUUAUAUUACCAAGGUCACCAAACAAUCAUACCUGAAAAUUACUAUUCUCUCACUAAAACUGAGCUAUAUCGUCUUAACGAUAGUUAUAUUACCAAGGUCACCAAACAAUCAUACCUGAAAAUUACUAUUCUCUUACUAAAAAAUUGAGCUAUAUCGUCUUAACGAUAGUUAUAUUACCAUGGUCACCAAAACAAUCAUACCUGAAAAUUACUAUUCUCUCCCUAAAACUGAGCUAUAUCGUCUUAAUGAUAGUUAUUUUACCAUGGUAACCAAAACAAUCAUACCUGAAAAUAACUAUUCUCUCCCUAAAACUGAGCUAUAUCGUCUUUAAGAUAGUUAUAUUACCAUGGUCACCAAAACAAUCAUACCUGAAAAUUACUAUUCUCUCACUAAAACUGAGCUAUAUCAUCUUAACGAUAGUUAUAUUACCAAGGUCACCAAACAAUCAUACCAGAAAAUUACUAUUCUCUCACUAAAACUGAGCUAUAUCGUCUUAACGAUAGGUAUAUUACCAUGGUCAAAACAAAAAAUAAUACCUGAAAAUUACUAUUCUACCUCUAAAACUGAGCUAUAUAGUCUUAACGAUAGUUAUAUUACCAUGGUCACCAAAACAAUCAUACCUGAAAAUUACUAUUCUCCCACUAAAACUGAGCUAUAUCGUCUACGUUGUACCUUCGUAUCUUUUUCAAUCACCCUGCUACUUUACUUACCAGAUUUGUCGAAAUUAUUCUUUCGUGAAAGGUUUGACCAAAACUGGAGGUAUGAAUGUUUAUCGUCUUUUCCGAAGUAAAUGUCAUAUACCUCAUCAAAUCACUACGCGCAGUUUAUCGUAUAUGUUCUACGUAUGUAUGUGUAUUAAUAAAUGUUAACGAUAGUCAUAUUACCAUAGUCACCAAAAUAAUCACCACUAAACCUUACCGUAUCUCUCAGUAAAUCUAAGCUAUAUCUUCUGCCAUGUACCUUCGCAUCUUUUUUCUGAUCAAUCACCGUGCUAUUUCACUUACCGUAUUUGCUGAAAAUAUUAUGGUGUGAAAAUGAUUAUUUGCCGAAAUUAUUCUGUCAUGAAAAGUUUGACUAAAACUGGAGGUAUGAAUGUUUACCGUCUUUUCCGAAGUAAAUGUCAUAUGCCUCAUGAAAUCACUACGCGCAGUUUACCGUAUAUGCUCUACGUAUGUAUUUGUAUUAAUUAAUAUUAACGAUAGUCAUACUUACCGUAUUUGCCGAAAAUAUUGUGUUGUGAAAAUGAUUACUAAAACUACAUGUGUGAAUGUUUACCUCUUCACCGAAGUCAGUGUCACAUUCCUCAUCAAAUCUGCGCAAUUUACUGGAUAAGCGCUACGUGUGUAUUUUCAUUAAUUCAAUUAAUGUUAGCCAUAGUCUCUCCCUAAAACUUUACCUUUUUCGGGUCAAUCACCCUUCUAUUUUACAUACCGUAUUUACCAAAAGAAUUAUGUUAUGGGGAUUAUAACUUAAAAUACAGGUAUGAAUAAUUACCGUCUUUUCCCAAGUAAAUAUCAUAUUCCUCAUCAAAUCACUCUUCGCAGUGUACCGUAUAUCAUCUAAGUCUGCAUUUGUAUUUACCAAGUCUAUGUCAACGAUAGUCAGAAAUCAUUUAACGUUGUUACCCAAAUAGACACGGCAUAUAACACAAAACAAUGGCAUGUGCAUUGUACCGUAACAUGGUCUAUGAUGAUGUUAUAAUUACUCAAUUUAUCAGUAUUUAUUAUUACAGUAAUUACUCUGAUACUUGUUGCAUACUUUAUAAAAUGACUAUGUGCUCAUUUACCGUAAAUACUCAAAUAUAACAUACAUUGCUUUUAUUCCCAGACAGAUUGAAACUGUUCCAGGAUACUAUUAUGUUAUUAUUAUUGUAUGUCAUUAUUACAUAUGAAUUAAUGUAUUUUGAAUGAUAUGUCGUGAUACUCUUGCUUGAAUAAACCCGAAUCACUCACA